CUACGUGCCAGCAGCCGCGGUAAUACGUAGGUGGCAAGCGUUGUCCGGAAUUAUUGGGCGUAAAGCGCGCGCAGGCGGAUCAGUCAGUCUGUCUUAAAAGUUCGGGGCUUAACCCCGUGAUGGGAUGGAAACUGCUGAUCUAGAGUAUCGGAGAGGAAAGUGGAAUUCCUAGUGUAGCGGUGAAAUGCGUAGAUAUUAGGAAGAACACCAGUGGCGAAGGCGACUUUCUGGACGAAAACUGACGCUGAGGCGCGAAAGCCAGGGGAGCGAACAGGAUUAGAUACCCUGGUAGUCCACGCCGUAAACGAUGAGUGCUAGGUGUUAGACCCUUUCCGGGGUUUAGUGCCGCAGCUAACGCAUUAAGCACUCCGCCUGGGGAGUACGACCGCAAGGUUGAAACUCAAAGGAAUUGACGGGGGCCCGCAACAAGCGGUGGAGCAUGUGGUUUAAUUCGAAGCAACGCGAAGAACCUUACCAGGUCUUGACAUCCCUCUGACCGCUCUAGAGAUAGAGUUUUCCUUCGGGACA
rnacentral:rRNA from 1 species